rnacentral:rRNA from 1 species
UGCAACCUGAGCUCACGCGAGGUUACCCG